rfam:Picea glauca, whole genome shotgun sequence.
ACAUGCUUACAACAUAGCGUUAAUGCACUGAAUCCCAUUAGAACUUCACAGUUAAGCAUGCUCGAGCUAGAGUAAUACUCGGAUGGGUCAUCGCUCGAGAAGUCCUAGUAUUUUACAUGCC